CAGUCGCCGCGGUAAUACGGAGGGAGCUAGCGUUGUUCGGAAUUACUGGGCGUAAAGCGCGCGUAGGCGGUUACUCAAGUCAGAGGUGAAAGCCCGGGGCUCAACCCCGGAACUGCCUUUGAAACUAGGUGACUAGAAUCUUGGAGAGGUCAGUGGAAUUCCGAGUGUAGAGGUGAAAUUCGUAGAUAUUCGGAGGAACACCAGUGGCGAAGGCGGCUUACUGGCUCAUACUGGACGCUGAGGUGCGAAAGCGUGGGGAGCAAACAGGAUUAGAUACCCCAGUAGUCCCUGUCUCUUAUAC
rnacentral:rRNA from 1 species